UACGAGGGGGGCAAGCGUUGUUCGGAAUUAUUGGGCGUAAAGGGCGCGUAGGCGGUGCGGUAAGUCACCUGUGAAAACUCUGGGCUCAACUCAGAGCCUGCAGGCGAAACUGCCGUGCUUGAGUGUGGGAGAGGUGCGUGGAAUUCCCGGUGUAGCGGUGAAAUGCGUAGAUAUCGGGGAGGAACACCUGUGGCGAAAGCGGCGCACUGGACCACAACUGACGCUGAGGCGCGAAAGCUAGGGGAGCAAACAGG
rnacentral:rRNA from 1 species